ACCGUGCAAAGGUAGCAUAAUAACUUGCCUCUUAAUUAGAGGCUGGAAUGAAUGGACCCACGAAAAUACAACUGUCUCCACCCCAAAAAUAAAAACUAAGCUUCAAGUGAAGACGCCUGAAUUAGACUAAAGGACAAAAAGACCCUGUUGAGCUUUAUCUACAACAAAUACAUAAAUUUAUUAAGAUUUAGUUGGGGCGACUAAGGAAGAUAAAAAGCUUCCUUUCAAAAAGACUAAUAGGUCAACUAAAAGAGCUAUAAAAAUAAUCGAAAAUAUAGCUACCACAGGGAUAACAGGCUAAUCCUCCUCAAGAGCCCAAAUUGACAGGAGGGCUUGGCACCUCG
rnacentral:rRNA from 1 species